GCAGUUUUAAUUCGCGCGCUUAUGAUGGAAACCGUUACCUGAGCGGCGGCGAGGGUGCGCCCUUCCCCUGCGCUGCGUCGYGCUGGGCGCAGGAGAGUCCGGCCGGCUGGCGCCGGCGAGUCGCUCCGGAGGCUGCCGGGGGAGCCGACAUCCUUGCCCCGUCCCGCCCAGCUCGGGCGUUUGGGCUGCACCGUCCCUAUUGAUCGCUUCGGUCACCAAGAAAGGAUGUACCGAAUUCCAAAGAGUGUCGGGCCUUAUCGGGCAGCUGCUUCUACAGGCGCGAGGACACGAGGCAGCGCCGCGCCGGUCCGUGAAUUUACACAGAUCCAGUAACAACUUCACUUAA
rnacentral:lncRNA from 1 species